rnacentral:rRNA from 1 species
UACGUAGGGCGCAAGCGUUAUCCGGAAUUAUUGGGCGUAAAGAGCUCGUAGGCGGUUUGUCGCGUCUGCCGUGAAAAGUCCGGGGGCUCAACUCCGGAUCUGCGGUGGGUACGGGGCAGACUAGAGUGAUGUAGGGGAGACUGGAAUUCCUGGUGUAGCGGUGAAAAUGCGCAGAUAUCAGGAGGAACACCGAUGGCGAAGGCAGGUCUCUGGGCAUUUAACUGACGUGAGGAGCGAAAAGCAUGGGGGGAGCGAAACAGG